CUACGGAGGGUGCGAGCGUUAAUCGGAAUUACUGGGCGUAAAGCGCGCGUAGGCGGUUUGGUCAGUCAGAUGUGAAAGCCCUGGGCUCAACCUGGGAACUGCAUUUGAUACUGCCAGGCUAGAGUAUGGUAGAGGGAAGUGGAAUUCCGGGUGUAGCGGUGAAAUGCGUAGAUAUCCGGAGGAACACCAGUGGCGAAGGCGACUUCCUGGACCAAUACUGACGCUGAGGUGCGAAAGCGUGGGUAGCAAACAGGAUUAGAAACCCUAGUAGUCC
rnacentral:rRNA from 1 species